GUUUGUGAAGAUCCAAACCAAACAAUGGUGGCCAUUAGAAAUACUAUGCAUCAAAGUGGUCAACAUUCAAGCUCAGUGUUUCUAGCUUAUUAUUCCUAUACGCGUCCGUACUACUAGCCAACGCUAAUUGACAGAACUAGACGCGGCUAAAUAUGGAUUCAAACUCUAUCUAGCGUUCCGUUAGUUGUAGCAUCAUGUGGCGCGACGGACGGAGCCCCCUGUUUCUGACUGUAUUGCUUUGUGUCGUAAUGUUACAUUUUUACCCAGCAAUUUCCUUGAGCUAAUUCCCGCUUUCGCUCACAUCUAACAGAAUACUAGAGUGAUACUACGAGUCAAAUCCACCCGCGUACAUGCAUGAAAUCACCAGGCUUCCCCUUGCGAUCAUACAGGAAUAAGCAGGAGUGUAGUUCCACAGCAGACUUCGACCCAUCCAACAAUGAGACGAAGCCAUUUCGGACUGAUCUUCAAUGCGAAUAAU